UGUGACUGUGAUGGUGUCACCUGGGUUCGGCCCCCCAAGUCUUCUCUGUGGACAGAGUCCAUUGCCCUGGAUGCUGGAAGUUGUGGCUGGAGCGCUGGGUCUCUAUCAGGAAAGCAGAUCUAGAGAUGAGUUCAUCAUGCGCAGGAGAGCUUGUAUUUUUGGCUUGACAAGAAUGCUCACCACCCCUGGAAUUUCAGCAGGAUCCUUCGGAUGGAUUUGAUUUAAUCCUGAGACAUAAAUCACAUCAAAGAGGAAUUGUUGGACAAAAGAUUCUUUUAUGCUUCAGAAUAUGGAAAUGUUUAGACCAACAGGAGAGCCUUAACCACAUUACUAGCAUUAGUAAGAAAAUGACUCAAAGGAAUAGAUUGUCCUGAAAUUAAAAUUAUGUCAUCGUUUGGUCAUCUUUCUGUCGUUCCAAACUUGUAUUUUCACAUUUAGCAGAAUGUUCAUACUGUUCUUUUCCAUAAAACAAAAGUGACAGGGGCAGUGGAGCAUGAAAAUAUGACAGAAAAGAAACAUAAAAUAUUAGAAUAUCAGAUUUCUAGUGAAUAAUGGCUUUAUUCUUAUCCUGUUCCUCACACAAAUCUAUUGUCUGGCUUCAGAAGACUUGUAAUGUAGCACUUAGUUAUUUGAACUGCUUUUCUGGUGCUUCUUGGUCAUUUGUGUGUUAAUGCAUGGAAAAGCAGCGUGGACGCUCUGCUCCAUUUGUGUUCAGAAAGAACAUGACAUGGAUUGGAACGACAUGAGAGUGAGUAAAUGAUGACUACCAUCAAUAUUCAUUUUAGGGUGUACUAUCAAACAGUAUGUGAAACCUUACAAUUUUGUGUGCACUGUGUGUUCUAACAGAGCCAUAAAUGCCUACAUUUCACCACCCACAUCUAGCAGCUAUAAAUCACAUUCACCAAAAUACGGUUUGCAGUUGUAGCAGGUUUCAUGAGCUUCAGAGAUAUGUAUAGGAUGUUAAAAGAAACAGUUUCAGCCUGAAACUCUGGCCCGUUUGAGGAAAAGCACUGGACAAUAACAUAUUCUGGUGUGAAUAUUAUAUUGAUUGGUUAAAUGUGUUCAAACUUGGCAUCCCAACAGGCAUACUAAAUCAUAAAGGAAAGUGCAGCACAAAACACUCGCUUUUCUCCUGCGAGUAUUGGACUCUCUCCACAUCAGUCAUUAGCGCCGGCGUCCAGGGGGAGCGUGAAGAGAGGUAUCGCACACUGGAUUGCAUGGAUACUUCAGGCCUGAGUUAAGCGCGCCUGGCCAGAUUCUCUUGGGAAAGCUGAGCUGGACCGAACCUAAUCCCAUCUGAUACCAUUCCUCAAAAGUGAAAUAUGGAAUUCCGAAUGUCUGGACUGUGCUUAUGCCAGCAGACCAAAGUUUCUGAGCUUCAGAUAUUCGGGUAAAUGCAAAAGCUGCCUGUUUUGCUGUUAACAUGCACUCAGCCUGAGCACCAUGUAAGGGCUCUGCUGCUCUCGCAGACGUAUCGUCAUCUUGUUGGUUCAGAUGAGGAUAAUAGAAAUGUUUGUAAACCCAGCAACACAACGCUGACUUCCACCUGGAAAUAAUUCCGUCAGGCUGAAAUGAUUUGUGUUUUUCCUGUUUAAUGAUAUCUGUACUUGUGAUGAUGCAUCUGUCUGUCUGCCUGUUACCUGUUUACUUGGGUUGGAUGAUGUUAUGGGAGCGUUGGACAGCACAAAUCUUAUUGUUAUAAUGACUCAUCCGUAAAUGGAAGGGACAGAAAGAAUGAUGUCAUGUUAUGGCCAUGCCAGACUUUUAGUUUUUUAAACAGAUUUUAAGGAACAUGCAACAAAGUCAACUGCAACACAAACACCAGGUCAAAUGAUGCUUCUGCUAAAGAAAUAAAGAGUGUCUGUAGAAACA
ensembl:lncRNA